rnacentral:tRNA from 1 species
CUAGAAAAACAGGACUUGAACCUGCACCUAAAAACUCAAAAUCUCUCGCACUUCCUUAUGCAAUCUCCUA